CCUCCCAGCUCCUUGGUGGGCUCUGUGCCUCCUUGAGCUAGGAAGAGCGUCCCGAGCCAGGACCCUAGGUUUUACAAGUCAAGGAAGCGUGGAGGAGUGUAGGGAACGGCCACCUAGGGACUACUUGUUGGAAAGUUUACAGAGACCAAAAGUUUGAGCUGGGGCUGCGGAAGGAUCAGGCUUUGUGUGCCGCCGCUCUAGGCGACAUUUGGCCAAGAUUUGCAUUUCAAAAGCCGAGGAGAUGCGGGUAGUGUGGGAAAAGGCAAAGCUGCACUGGGAACCGGGUUCAUCCCGGAGUUAGGUCUGAGGCCAUGGGCAGGAGCAGCUGAAGCCAAGUUUGGGGGAACUCCCAGAGCGGGUGUUUAGAUGUCGUGCCCUGACAGUGUUGGGUGCGUCUCUCGCCCAAGGCCCCCACUCUUGGGAGCCGUUUGGUCUCAGCUAUAGGCGCCCAAAGGAUUGAGGCCAGGCACCCCUAGCCGUGACUUCCGGAACGCUUGUCCUUAAAGGGUGAUGGCGUCGCUCCUGCAGCCUCUGCAGAAGGGAGCUCGGGGCUCCCCAAGGGAACUCCCCAAAGGCCAGUGCCUUGCUGGACAGAUUUCGCUCUCGCGAUCCCCAGCAGGAACAAGCGCCUAGAUGUUCCAUGGUCAUUCUUCUCCUGGCUCUGCCCGACUUAGGUGGCCCGGGAAAGCACAGGGCCCCAGUACAGUGACUGCUAGCGCCAGCACAGCCUCUCUCAAGUGCAUUUCCUGGAUCAGUUAUCUCUCCACCUCGAUGCUUGGACAUCCUGUGCCAAGCUGGUUAGCUCUGGGAGUCCAAGAUGCCUUCCUUGUCGCUGUGCAAUCAAAGUUCAAUGGAAUCUGGACCGGACAACACCUCCCUAUCCCAAAACAGGAAGAUGCCGGCGGCGGUGGCAGGAGUAUUGUCAGGACUACAGGGCGUCCUGAAGACUGCCAGAACUUCUAAAAGCAGAGCUCAUAGCCCAACUCCUGGGAGUACCUGACUUUCUUUCUCCAAAGCUGGAGGUCCUGACUUCAGUCAUGGAAACAUCUGCUGCAAACUUAGAACAGCAAGUCACAGAGCCCCUUCCAGAGAGAAGUGAAGCAAAGCAGAUGCUGUCUGUGCUGAGACCUCCUGCACUCAACCUCCAGAGCCUGGGAGCCUGGGAAGCUGAAAAAACAUGGGCUGCAGGGGACGGGGUACUGGGAAGAAGAGUACUUGUUGGGUUUUAUGAUGCUGCAGGGAACCACAGCACCCUGGGAACCUGAACAAGGUAUGGGAGCCACAGGCAGUUCUGGGCAGGUCAUAGUAGCCUGUCCCUGCACAACUCUGUCCUUCCUCCUGUUGGUCAGUGUUUUUGAGUCCCUCACUGGGCUAGAGCUGUCUUCCCAGGUCCAGUGGUUGCAGAGCUAUGCCUGGGCCAAGAGGCUUCUUACUGAGUCAGAGGAAAAGACCCAGCAGACGAGAGAGAGAGAGAGAGAGAGAGAGAGAGAGAGAGAGAGAGAGAUCAGUUGGAGUAUCUUGGGUCUUAAUAAGAUCCGAAUUGGGGAAAGUUGGGAGCAGGGACAGGGCCUUAGAGUAUGUCUAGUUUUCUGUGGGUUCAGAGCCUAUUUUUAAAAUCUCUUCCUGCUGAGCUGGGAUGGGUGCUGUGACCAAGACUAAAGGUGCUGAGAUCCUUCUUGGUAGGGCUUUUGGAAGGAAGAAGACAGAAGCAGGUGUCUCCAGGAUAAAAGGAAGUGUAAGAGCCUAAGAGUUGGGAAGGGGAUGGGAGAGAUUGGUACUGGGUGCCAUUCAGGGUAGCAGGCCCUAAGAAGUGAUGUUGAAUGUAGAACCAAGAAAGUGAGGAUGGGGAAGGGAGUACAUACAGCUCUCUGCUGUCCUGGACCCCAUAAGUACAUGUAUUGGAUGGACCUCCAAGUCUGGAAGCACUGAAAACAAUGAGCGCUUGAGGACACGAGCCUGAUCAGGCUGGGACAUACAGUAUGACCCCACAAAAUCUCUCUCCCUGCUUUGGUCCUUCCCACCAGAACCCUGUUUCUGCAUUGUCCCUUGCUCUAUCAUGGGGUGUAAUGACUUGAGGUGUGUUCCCCAAAGAUAGGUUGGUAGGUUCCCCUGGAAUGUAUGUAUGUAUGUAUGUAGCUGUAUUUGGAAGAAAAGUCUUUGUAGAUGUAAUGGAUUAAAAUAAGGUCCUUAUACAUCA